CUAGACCAAUCAUGAUCGCGUAUAUCAGCAGGUCAUGAAGGGGGCGGGACUUCCUGUUGUGCACUCGGUUUUCUUCACGGCCUCUCGGAUUGAAGGGCACUGGUUCAGUGGAAGAAGAGGUUCAUUCUGCACAGUGAAGAAGCAUCAUGGCGGUCACGACUCCGGCACUCAGCACCAGUUCACCGGCAUUUGCCAAGUACUUCAACUCCUACACCAUCACAGGAAGGAGGAAUUGUGUCUUGGCCACAUACGCCAGCAUCGCCGCCAUUAUCCUGUUCUUCAAACUGAAGCCCAAGAAGAAGGCUGUAACGGCGAGCUAAUGUAUUAUAAGGUUUUGUGAUUUUUUGCUGUACAGGAUGAAGAUUCGGUAACCAGUUGUCUUGAGUCACAAUGUUAAAAAUAAAGUGUACCAAACUCCAAUACAUAGAAAAGAUGUUUUAUUUACACAAUUAUAAAAGACUGUACAGUUCAGGAGGCUGGGGCCACAAACCUGUAUGGCAGCUAUGUGAAAAAUAAUUAACUAAGUAUCAGUAUCUUGUUACUGAUACAAAUACACACAUGGUUAAGUCCAGAAGGUUCAGUUGCUUCACUGUAAUACCAUUUUAAGAAACUAGUGUAGUCGAGCCACACGAGACCUACGAGCUCUUCGUCUGGCAGUGUUGCAUGAUUUGGCGGUGAAAGCUGUGUUGCUGUACUGUGAUCACUGGGAGGUGUAUGCACCAGCAGCCAGUAGCAGGUUGCGUCUGGUGAAGUGGACGUGGAUGACGGCGGUGGAUUUGGUCACGUAUGUCCCAACAAUACUUCCUGAGAGUUGUCGGGUAAGUGAAUGUGACCCGUGGCUGCUGUGAAAUCGUCCGUUUCCACAUCAUCGACAGCUUUG
ensembl:lncRNA